rnacentral:rRNA from 1 species
GACGAACGCUGGCGGCGUGCUUAACACAUGCAAGUCGAACGGAGUGGCGAACGGGGGAGUAACCGGUGGGUGACCUGCCUUGACCUCCGGGAAAGCCCUGGGAAACUGGGUUUAAUACCGGUAGUUGUGGGAUGGGCCCGCGGCCUAUCAGCUUGUUGGUGGGGUAAUGGCCUACCAAGGCGGCGACGGGUAGCCGGCCUGAGAGGGUGGACGGCCACAUUGGGACUGAGACACGGCCCAGACUCCUACGGGAGGCAGCAGUGGGGAAUAUUGCACAAUGGGCGGAAGCCUGAUGCAGCGACGCCGCGUGGGGGAUGACGGCCUUCGGGUUGUAAACUCCUUUCACCAUCGACGCGGUAGAUGGAGAAGAAGCACCGGCUAACUACGUGCCAGCAGCCGCGGUAAUUC